rnacentral:lncRNA from 1 species
GUUCGAGAAGAGGCGGAACUUUCAAAACCCCCGGGCGGAGAAAGGGCGUGGCGAGUGGUGCCUGGGCGCCGGCGUUGAACCGGCGGGAUGACUAGCAACCGAGCCUUUUUCGAGGUUCUUAGAGAUGAUUUUAACAGCACUGGCUUGACAGAUUUGUAACUGGGGAUCCCCUGGAAGAAUCGUCUGGAAAUUACGACCUUCAUCUGGCGAUUGCAGCUGUUAAAGUCUCCAAAGAAGCCAUUCUUACAUUGUGUUGUGAAAUUAUUACUCUAUCUCAAAUCUGUGCCAGAAAGAAAAUAAAAUGUGUGUUUA